GAUGAACGCUGGCGGCGUGCCUAAUACAUGCAAGUCGAGCGAACAGUUAAGGAGCUUGCUCCUUUGACGUUAGCGGCGGACGGGUGAGUAACACGUGGGUAACCUACCUAUAAGACUGGAAUAACUCCGGGAAACCGGGGCUAAUGCCGGAUAACAUUUAGAACCGCAUGGUUCUAAAGUGAAAGAUGGUUUUGCUAUCACUUAUAGAUGGACCCGCGCCGUAUUAGCUAGUUGGUAAGGUAACGGCUUACCAAGGCAACGAUACGUAGCCGACCUGAGAGGGUGAUCGGCCACACUGGAACUGAGACACGGUCCAGACUCCUACGGGAGGCAGCAGUAGGGAAUCUUCCGCAAUGGGCGAAAGCCUGACGGAGCAACGCCGCGUGAGUGAUGAAGGUCUUCGGAUCGUAAAACUCUGUUAUUAGGGAAGAACAAAUGUGUAAGUAACUGUGCACGUCUUGACGGUACCUAAUCAGAAAGCCACGGCUAACUACGUG
rnacentral:rRNA from 1 species